rnacentral:rRNA from 1 species
UGGAAAGGCGCGCGAUACAGGGUGACAGCCCCGUACACAAAAAUGCACAUAUUGUGAGCUCGAUGAGUAGGGCGGGACACGUGGUAUCCUGUCUGAAUAUGGGGGGACCAUCCUCCAAGGCUAAAUACUCCUGACUGACCGAUAGUGAACCAGUACCGUGAGGGAAAGGCGAAAAGAACCCCGGCGAGGGGAGUGAAAAAGAACCUGAAACCGUGUACGUACAAGCAGUGGGAGCCUCUUAAUGGGGUGACUGCGUACCUUUUGUAUAAUGGGUCAGCGACUUAUAUUCUGUAGCAAGGUUAACCGAAUAGGGGAGCCGAAGGGAAACCGAGUCUUAACUGGGCGUUAAGUUGCAGGGUAUAGACCCGAAACCCGGUGAUCUAGCCAUGGGCAGGUUGAAGGUUGGGUAACACUAACUGGAGGACCGAACCGACUAAUGUUGAAAAAUUAGCGGAUGACUUGUGGCUGGGGGUGAAAGGCCAAUCAAACCGGGAGAUAGCUGGUUCUCCCCGAAAGCUAUUUAGGUAGCGCCUCGUGAAUUCAUCUCCGGGGGUAGAGCACUGUUUCGGCAAGGGGGUCAUCCCGACUUACCAACCCGAUGCAAACUGCGAAUACCGGAGAAUGUUAUCACGGGAGACACACGGCGGGUGCUAACGUCCGUCGUGAAGAGGGAAACAACCCAGACCGCCAGCUAAGGUCCCAAAGUCAUGGUUAAGUGGGAAACGAUGUGGGAAGGCCCAGACAGCCAGGAUGUUGGCUUAGAAGCAGCCAUCAUUUAAAGAAAGCGUAAUAGCUCACUGGUCGAGUCGGCCUGCGCGGAAGAUGUAACGGGGCUAAACCAUGCACCGAAGCUGCGGCAGCGACACUAUGUGUUGUUGGGUAGGGGAGCG